rnacentral:rRNA from 1 species
GAUGAACGCUGGCGGCGUGCCUAAUACAUGCAAGUCGAGCGAACGGACGAGAAGCUUGCUUCUCUGAUGUUAGCGGCGGACGGGUGAGUAACACGUGGAUAACCUACCUAUAAGACUGGGAUAACUUCGGGAAACCGGAGCUAAUACCGGAUGAUAUUUUGAACCGCAUGGUUCAAAAGUGAAAGACGGUCUUGCUGUCACUUAUAGAUGGAUCCGCGCUGCACUAGCUAGUUGGUAAGGUAACGGCUUACCAAGGCAACGAUGCAUAGCCGACCUGAGAGGGUGAUCAGCCACACUGGAACUGAGACACGGUCCAGACUCCUACGGGAGGCAGCAGUAGGGAAUCUUCCGCAAUGGGCGAAAGCCUGACGGAGCAACGCCGCGCGAGUGAUGAAGGUCUUCGGAUCGUAAAACUCUGUUAUUAGGGAAGAACAUAUGUGUAAGUAACUGUGCACAUCUUGACGGUACCUAAUCAGAAAGCCACGGCUAACUACGUG